GUCAGCUCGUGUCGUGAGAUGUUGGGUUAAGUCCCGCAACGAGCGCAACCCUUGUCAUUAGUUGCUACAUUUAGUUGGGCACUCUAAUGAGACUGCCGGUGACAAACCGGAGGAAGGUGGGGAUGACGUCAAGUCCUCAUGGCCCUUAUAGGUAGGGCUACACACGUCAUACAAUGGAUGGUACAAAGGGUCGCCAACCCGCAGGGGGAGCCAAUCCCAUAAAACCAUUCGUAGUCCGGAUCGCAGUCUGCAACUCGACUGCGUGAAGUCGGAAUCGCUAGUAAUCGUGGAUCAGAAUGUCACAGUGAAUACGUUCCCGGGUCCUU
rnacentral:rRNA from 1 species